rnacentral:rRNA from 1 species
GACGGGGGAUGCAAGUGUUAUCCGGAAUCACUGGGCGUAAAGCGUCUGCAGGGGGUUUCCUAAGUCCACUGUUAAACCUUGAGGCUCAACCUCAAAUCUGCAUUGGAAACUAGGAGACUUGAGUAUAGUAGGGGUAGAGGGAAUUUCCAGUGGAGCGGUGAAAUGCGUAGAUAUUGGGAGGAACACCAGUGGCGAAGGCGGCUCACUGGACCGGAACUGACGCUGAGGCGCGAAAGCGUGGGGAGCAAACAGG